rnacentral:rRNA from 1 species
GAUGAACGCUGGCGGCGUGCCUAAUACAUGCAAGUCGAACGCUGGAAAUCUAGCUUGCUAGAUUGAAGGAGUGGCGAACGGGUGAGUAAUACAUAAGCAACCUACCCACGAAGACUGGGAUAAUCUCUGGAAACGGGGACUAAUACCGGAUAGGUAAUCGGAAGGCAUCUUCUGAUUAUUAAAGGUUAAAAACACUGGUGGAUGGGCUUAUGGCGCAUUAGUUAGUUGGUGAGGUAACGGCCCACCAAGACGAUGAUGCGUAGCCGGCCUGAGAGGGUGAACGGCCACAUUGGGACUGAGACACGGCCCAGACUCCUACGGGAGGCAGCAGUAGGGAAUUUUCGGCAAUGGGGGAAACCCUGACCGAGCAACGCCGCGUGAGUGAUGACGGCCUUCGGGUUGUAAAGCUCUGUUGUAAGGGAAGAACGGUAGAUAGAGAAUAUCUAAAUGACGGUACCUUACCAGAAAGCCACGGCUAACUACGCG